rnacentral:rRNA from 1 species
AGUGAACGCUGGCGGUAGGCCUAACACAUGCAAGUCGAACGGCAGCACCGUAAGAGCUUGCUCUUCCGGGUGGCGAGUGGCGGACGGGUGAGGAAUACAUCGUAAUCUACUUUUUCGUGGGGGAUAACGUAGGGAAACUUACGCUAAUACCGCAUACGACCUACGGGUGAAAGCAGGGGAUCUUCGGACCUUGCGCGGUUGAAUGAGCCGAUGUCGGAUUAGCUGGUUGGCGGGGUAAAGGCCCACCAAGGCGACGAUCCGUAGCUGGUCUGAGAGGAUGAUCAGCCACACUGGAACUGGGACACGGUCCAGACGCCUACGGGAGGCAGCAGUGGGGAAUAGUGGACAAUGGGGGCAAGCCUGAUCCAGCCAUACCGCGUGGGUGAAGAAGGCCUUCGGGUUGUAAAGACCUUUUGUUGGGAAAGAAAAGCAGCAGGUUAAUACCCCGCUGUUCUGACGGUACCCAAAGAAUAAGCACCGGCUAACUUCGUG